GCUAUUGAAUGAUUAAACCAGAAAUAAAUAAGAAAGCUUAUCUUAGAUAUCUUGCUUUAUGAAAGUAGGCUUAAAAUUUGAAAAGUAAAUUGGAAAUUAUUCAAAUCUUGGCGGUGAUCUGAAUCGGUUCUAAUUGGUAACCCUUUGAGAAUCUAAUCUAUUUUGCAUGUCAUUAAACGUACCCGAGAGUUUAGCGCGUUAUUGUGUUUUGACAUGGCGUCACUUCGUCACAAACAUUUUGCGAUCGAAUACCGCUAAGAAGCCGAAUCGCAAUUGGUUGCAACAAUCAAAGCAAUUGAAAGCAAUCAACGCAAUCAGAUCACAAAUUGGAUGACGCAACACUUAUCAAAAGUCGCGAAAACAAUCGGCACAGUCGUGAAUCAUCAGUAGUUGACGAGAAAGAAGGCAUAAUGUCUACCCAUAUGCCGCCAAACAACAAGGUUAACAUUGAUUCACCCGACGACACAUUCGUGAAUCAAACGCCGAUGAAGAAAAUCAUGGAAAACAUAUUCACCGAAGAAACCGCUGAUGUAAUUUUCGUGUUCGAAGGAAGCGAUCAGAAAGUUCCAGCUCAUAAGGCGCUUCUGGCGGCAAUCAGCCCAGUGUUCAAUGCCAUGUUCAAUGGAGAGCUGAAAGAGAAAGGCGAUGUAAAAAUUGCGGAUGCUUCACCGGAAGCUUUCAAGGAAUUCUUACAGUUCUUCUACGGUGACUCGGUAAAAUUGACCACAGCUAACAUUGAACGAGUUCUGAACUGCACCAACAAAUACGAUA